rnacentral:rRNA from 1 species
GACGAACGCUGGCGGCGUGCUUAACACAUGCAAGUCGAACGGUAAGGCCCUUCGGGGUACACGAGUGGCGAACGGGUGAGUAACACGUGGGUGAUCUGCCCUGCACUUCGGGAUAAGCCUGGGAAACUGGGUCUAAUACCGGAUAGGACCACUGCCUGCAUGGGUGGUGGUGGAAAGCUUUUGCGGUGUGGGAUGGGCCCGCGGCCUAUCAGCUUGUUGGUGGGGUGAUGGCCUACCAAGGCGACGACGGGUAGCCGGCCUGAGAGGGUGACCGGCCACCCUGGGACUGAGAUACGGCCCAGACUCCUACGGGAGGCAGCAGUGGGGAAUAUUGCACAACGGGCGCAAGCCUGAUGCAGCGACGCCGCGUGAGGGAUGACGGCCUUCGGGUUGUAAACCUCUUUCAGCACCGACGAAGCGCAAGUGACGGUAGGUGCAGAAGAAGGACCGGCCAACUACGUGCCAGCCGCCGCAGUAA